UUAAAGAAUAAACACAAACCCCUCGACGGUUCUGCAUUUUCCCCACAGCAGCCAAUGGCAGCAGCAAGAUCGAUUCCAGCAAUUCUCCAGUGAAUGGUGACUUCUCCGGCGAAGGGCGAUGCCUUUUUAAAUGUUAAAGAGAAGCGAAAUGCAAUGCGGUAGCGAAGCCCUCAACAGUUUUUGCAAUUCACCCACAGCGACCAACGGCAACAAGCUCCGCUUAGGCGGACAACAACUUCUUCAUCGAGUGGUGACCUCUCUGAUGACCGACGAUUUCUCUGGCGAAGGAUGACACCUUUUUUAAUGUUAAAAAUAACCAAAACGCAACAAAGUCCUCGACCACAACGACUGAAAUAUGGUUCUCCAUCGCCUGAUUUGGGCGUUUUUUUCUCUAACCAACAUUUAAGCAUCUUAUUUCUCCGGCAACCUUCACCCAUUGUCCGACAGCCUCUCCCAUUGACCGGUGGCAGUUCAUGAUCAUCCAAGCAUUGGGAUGUUAACCCAGAGGACGUUGAUGUAGAACUUGAAGGAGAACAUGAUUUGCAUGUUCUUAAUAUGGACCUUACAAAACAUGUUGUUCCUUCUAAUCUUGAUGAUGCAACUGAGGAGAAUCAACAAAGCUGAUAUAUUUUGACCUUUCAUCUAUUAAAUGCGGUGAUCAAGUACGGAUGCAUAGGAACCGGUAAAAAUCUCUCUUCUCCUUCCUCUUCUUCUUCUUGCUCUUCUAUUUUUCAACAGGGAACUGUUGCUGCCUCUCUGCUUGCAAUCUGGAGCCGCUGUUGAACAUAUUGUGCAGGCGACGACUUUCUUCAUGCCUCCAAUCCACUGCCACUUCACUUGAUCCAACAUUAUGACCGAGCUUUUUUCUUUUUCUAGAAGUAAAUUUGAAUGAUAUUGACAUUCGUUACACCUGGUUAGUCUCGUUGCAUGAACCGCAGAAACUGCUGUGCCCAAUCAAUCUGGUUAUCCUCAUCGCACUCAUUAUUGUAGCGGAGUACCAUACGUUUUCUUCCUAGGUGCCAUGCUCCUCUGUUACUAUCUGAAUCUUCCAGUUCAUGUGCAUAAAUUUUCAUAAUCUUUUAUCCCUGGAUUUGAGCAUUAAAGUUUUUUUUAGUGGCAUGAACUGAGUCAAUGUCCGACCAGUACAACUGAUACUAUAUCAGUAUAGUAUCACGCACAAUCUAUCUUGCACACGUCAAAGCAUAGGGGUUCUAGUGUAAGAUUCAUGCCAGCUGUGCUCAAACUUGAGACUUAUUGAGGUCAGGCACUUGUCUUUGGCUGCUCUAUAAUAAUGGAAUACCUAGGCUUUGAAUGUAGAAUGUAUCUCUUAGGUUAUGUUAUCUUUUCCUGACAGAAAACUUGCUCUCCUCCAUAUUCUUCAGCCACAUAGACGCCUUUACACUUAUUGCAUUUAUGACCUCUUAUAUUUGCAUGUCUAGGUAGUUCAUGUUCUUGCUUCAAAAGGGAUGACUGUGGUUCCAUUUGAGCUAAACUACUUGGUGGAUUCUGUUCAGUCCAUACUGAACAUCACUAUGGACGCUGAUAUGUUAAGUCAUUUUGAUGAGUGGCAACGUGCACGCGAUGAUAAGAAGUGUGAACCUCUAGAUGAAUGGCCUGUGGAACUGCGCCGUGCACGUCUCAUUCCGGCUGUGGACUACUUGCAGGCACGCGGGCACGAGGUAGGUUGAUUAAGGAGAUCCAGGAGAGCUUCACAGUCGAUGCAUUUAUAGUAAAUGCUACUGACUGGGAGAAAGUUUGUCUGGGCAACCUGGUGGGAAUGCCACUAGUGGUUGUUCCAACUGGAUUCAAGAACAUCACGGAUCCACCAAAGAGUGGCACAAGGCGUCGAACUACCAUCAGAACUGGCAUAUAUGCACCACCUAAUCAUCAUUCUGUGGUAUUCUUCCGGCCCAAAAACUAGGUUGUGUUUGCAAGCACAUUCUGCAGUAUUUGCUAGGCAUAUUCUUUAAACAAGGUUGGUUAUCGAUGAAACGAGCAUCAGCUGAUCGCCAUAACCAUCUUUUCUGCGGAUCUUGGGUCUACGUCUAGAUUUUUUCUUAUAAAAAGGAAAAAAACUAUCAUGUAUUCUGUUGGCUUGUUUUCAUGUAUGAGAACUCCUUGUUUCCUCC